rnacentral:lncRNA from 1 species
GUAUAUUAGUCGUCAAACAAGACGGACAGAAAGACAUGGAUAUAUGAAUAUCGACUCGGCUGUUGAUGCUGAUCGAGGAUAUACCAAUAUAAAUAUGUACUUUAUGGGCUCGGAAACGCUUAGUUCUGUUACAUCACUUCAAUCACAAAACUAAUAUACAGGUACAGGUUCCAAAAAAGUUGAAGAAAGUCGAUUGAUAAAGAAUUGCAGAAACUAAUUGGAGUUCGGAUAUGGUUGCCACAGAAAUCGCUCGAGAAAUGGGAAUUAGCAAAACAAUUUGGCGUUGCCACAGGGUUCCGAGGGAGUUAAUUUUCUAGUUGAGAACUUAGUUAGUGUGGUGUUUAUUUAGUCUCGGUUUUGGUUUGGUUUUGAAUUAUUAGCGUAAAAGAAAAUGAAGAUUUGAUUUUAAAAGCUUUACUUUUAUAAUUUCAAAACAAAAAACAAAAGCAAAUAGAAUAGAAACCUUGCAAAACUGGCAUCUCAGAUGCGCCUCGGUCUUGCUUUCCCAAUCAGACGAUGCGUAUUAGAGUCCUACACGAAUCCAUUUAAAACAGGAAACGUAUCACAGCUUUCCAACUUUUCGAGCUCCGUUUUCUUAUUUGUGAUGAUGAGAACCAAGAACAAUUUGGUGUUGGCGAUAACAUUCGAAUGGCAUUUUUCGCUGAACAAAAAAUCAGAAAUAAGGAUGCUGUAACUCGACUAAGAGAUUUUCUGCAUUUAGACAUACAUAUGCCUAUACAUAUAUACAUAUGUAUAUACAUAUACAUAUUGAAAAUGUAUAAAAUAUAUUUAAAAAGUGUAAUUUUAUCAAAAUAUGUAUGUAUGUACAUAAGUACUUUUUACUUGCAUCCUAUUAUAAAAUACCUGCUGUACGGAUAUACAAACUAAUUUGAGUUGAGGUCUUAAAAACUAUGAAAUGACCGAGGAACGAAUACAAUUUUUUAAUUUUCGUCCUUUAUGUAUGUUUUCAGGUUCAACGAUUGAACUCCCGGACACGGAAACUACAAAUGUGAAUUUAUGAUUUAAAAAAACACAAAAAAAAAAUCCGUCCACUGAUCCAUCAAAAGACGAUUACAAUUUGCUGAACGUUUUCGCAUACAGCGAACAAAAUGAUAAAAUGCUGGAACUAUUAUCUGCUUUUAUUUUUCUGUGUGUGGAAAAAUGUUGCCACUUUAACCGAUGACACACAAAAAGAAUCUGUCGUUUCAAAUCGCUACAAUACGUACAAAUACAAGCCGCAAACAAACUUAGCCCCACAACACUUAUCCAAUAAGGCUUCGCCAAGCUCGUAUGUUCAACAUGAACCCCAUUUGCAUACAGUUGAAUCAUCGGUAACAACUCAAAAAUCAUCUUCUGUGGGACUACAAGUCUCUAAUAAUGCUGCAUUCCAUACUGGAAGUGGUAGUGGAUAUUCGACUCAUUUAGAUCCACAUUUGCAUAGGAGUUCAUACAAUCUCUUAAGUGAAGCCAUGUCGCAGGCUGUCAGCAAUGAAUUCAGUAAGUUGGUAACAAUUAGUAAAUAUUUAUAAAAAAAUGCAUUUAUCUCAAACACAUUUUAGAGCUAAUUUGCUAUUUAUUUUUGCUAUAAACUAAACCGAAAAGAGGAAAUUUUGCUUAUUUAUGUAUAUAGAUUUGCUUGUACUUGUCUUUAAAAUACUAAUAGUUUUUGCCUCUUAACAGAUUCAGUUGGAAGUGGCUCUGCAGAUGGAGCAUGUAACCCAGAAGAAAUUGACUGCUAUAAUGGAAAUGUUCAGGAUCGUUUUGGCAUGGAAGCAAUUGCAAGCUUGCAUCGUCAACUUGAUGAUGAUGAUAAUGGAAACAUUGAUUUGAGUGAAUCAGAUGAUGUAUGUUCUAUGCUUUUAUGAAAAAUCAUUCAAAAUUUGAUUGUUACUAUAUAAUAAGUCUUUUUUUUUUAACAAUAAUUCCACUAGCACCACUUUCCAAUUCGUGGACGAAGGGGUUCUACUGAAAUGCUAAAUCCAACUGAGGUGUAUAUAUUACGUGACUGGCAAUAUUCUGGCGACACAUGUGAUUUUCGAUUUCCAAUCAGUACAAUAUUCCUCCCGAAAAUCGGCUAGAAUCUGGCAUUUCUAUACCUGGUACUCAAAGAUUUAAAGGUGUAUAUUGUGUUUGUGCUCGAAAGUGGAUGUACUCAGAAGGAAACGUUUCCGAGCCGAACAUCAAUAGCCGAGUCUAUGUCUGUGUGUAUGUCUGUCCGUCUUGUUUGUCGCCUUGUUUUCAAGAACUAUAGGAACCCAAUUGUAUUCGAAGACCCAUGUGAUAGCACACUGAAUUUUUUUUCAAAGGUAUAAACUCUGACAUCCACACUGAACAUACAUUUUAUUUAUGUAUAUACUUACGUACAUACUGACUGAGUUACGAGAAUAAAAUAUGACGAGUCUCACAACGUUCCUCCUCAUUUUCCAUAGAUGUAUACAUAUGUACAUAUAACUUUAAAUAUUUCGAAAAAUAUACAUAUGUAUAGAUAUAAGUAUUUCAUUUAACAGUUAAAUGGCCGAAGAUUUUUUAAAAAUUGUUUUUGAAACGUUUAUUUUUUCUUUCUUUUUCUUUUAGUUUUUGCGGGAAGAACUGAAGUAUGACUCAGGCUAUGAAAAACGGCAAAGGGCGUUUCAUUUUAAUGAUGACAUGCAUAUAUCAGUCAAAGAGUUGUGGGAAGCUUGGCUAAGAUCAGAGGUUCAUAACUGGACUAUUGAACAGACUACAGACUGGUUGGCUCAGUCUGUGCAGCUCCCACAAUAUGUAGAACUCUUCAAAUUGCAUAAAGUUACUGGUGCUUCUUUGCCAAGGUAUGUCGUAAAAAUAUAGAAAAUAAGAAAAAAGUUAUGGUCAUUGUUAAGACAAGAAGAAACGUUGUGAGACACUAUCAACAAAGCAUCACUACCUGUAUCCCAUGUACUCAGUCAGUACAUGUACAUAUGUAUAUGUACAUAUUACAUAUGAUUUUAGUCGAAUUUUAAAUAUUUUAUCUGUUUACUUUUUUUUGCUACUCGUGCCAUCUACAUCACCUCUGAUUUGUGGGGGGAAGGGGGCCCGGCCAAUUUCAGAAAUAACAGUAACAGUAUGUAUGCAAAAUUUUUGUUGAUUCGGCUUUUAUAGUCCUGGUACUAGGUGUUCAUCAAGACGGGCUGGUACUAGGUCCUGGUACUAGGUGUUCAUCUAGACGGGCUGACGAAAAGACAGACAGACAGUCAUUGGCUCGGCUAUUGACUAUUGAAUCAAGAAUACAUACAUAUAUACAUAUACAUAUUUCAUAGUUUUGGUAGCAUGCUUCAUUGUGAUUGCCAAAUUGAACGGGCUUCAACUCGGAUUGAGACAGGGGAUGAACCAGAGCUGUGGGCGUGAAUAAAAUAUAUAAACUAGCAUUCAAUGUUAGGAGAGUUUAUUCCGACUAAUAAAUACUACAAUGCAUGUAUGUCAGGCAAUUGUAAUUAAUAGAUUCAACUCAUUUAUCUUUAACUAAAUUUUUAAAAUGUAUUCGAAAAUAGAUAGCGAUAGAUGGCAUAUUUAACUAAAAUAAACACAGGUAAACAGUAUAAACUUAAACUUCAACUAAUUCAUCCUUAGCUUAAUGCUUAAUGUUUAUUCGCCAAAGAGAAUAAUAUUUAACUCAAAAAUUAAAGUUUCCAAAGAAUAAACAUAUCAACGGUAUGUUUAAACUUAAACAUAUUUUCAGUUAGUAAAUAUCUUAAAAUCAUAUGCACAUUUUUGUAAUAGCUAUUUUUUUUGCUUAUAGGUUAGCUGUGAAUAACUUGCAGUAUGUCGGCAAUGUGCUUGGCAUCAAAGACCCCAUUCAUAAGCAAAAAAUAUCACUAAAAGCAAUGGAUGUAGUGCUCUUCGGUCCUCCACGAGGUAAGAAAACAACACUGCAACGAACUGAAAACUUUUAAAUGUAUUUUGCAAGGCACAAAAAACUGUUUGUGUGAGACGAAGCACACAAUCUUUUUUAAAGACCCAACAAAGAAAAAAAAUGCUUUGUUAUCCAUAGUUAUACAUUUAUACAUUUUAUAGAAACCGGUACACGUUGGAAGGACUAUAUAUUGGUGACUCUGUUGUUAAGCGCUAUUAUUGGCUGUUGGUAUGCUUACCAGCAAAAUAAAAAUGCCAAGCGUCACCUACGUCGUAUGGCUCAGGAUAUGGAAGGAUUGCAGAAAGCCGAACAAAGUCUACAGGAGAUGCAGAAGGUUUGUUGGUUUGAUAAAAAUAAUUUUAAAUAAUUGUUGAAUAUUGUAGGAACUAGAGCGUGCUAGAAUGGAACAGGAAAAUGUGGCAACGGAAAAAAUGGACCUAGAACGGCGUCUUAAAGAGGCCCCCUCUCUUAGCUCAUCAAACUCAGACCUAGAGGUGUUGCAGUUGAAAAAAGAAGUGGAAAUGUUGCGAAAUGAAUUGUCGCGGGCCGAAUUCGAGUUGGUUGAUAAUUGCUGGGCCCCACCUCCGCAACUUCAAUCGUGGUUGCAAUACACAUAUGAACUAGAAAGUAAGAACCAUCAGAAGAAGCGCGCAUCUGCAGAGAAGCAGCUUCAGUCAGCAAGAGAGGCUUGUGAAAAAUUGCGUAAGAAGCGUUCGAGUUUGGUAGGAGCGUUUGUGUCUACCCACGGAAAAAGUAUUGAUGACGUUGAUCGUUCUAUUGUUGAGGCCCGCAAUGCUCUAGGAGAAGUAACAAAUGAACUACAAGAGCGAUUGCAUCGCUGGAAACAAAUUGAAACGUGCCUUGGAAUAAAUAUCGUAAAUAACAAUGGGUUGUCAUGUUUGGAAAAUGUGCUGUAUGGUCGCAAUGGUGGUUUCCAAAGUUCGAUUGGAGGAAGUGGUUCAAAAGGCUCAAGAAGUAAGCAUUUAUCUGUUUUUAAUAUUGUUUGGUACAAGUCGAAAUUUACCAUGAAUAUUCUUUGUCUGUUUAAAAAGCACGAAUUACUAGCAGUACUGAUGACCUAGAUGACGAGUCUGUGCAAGGUAAGCUGAACUUUGAGAACUUUUCGCUGCUCGCAACGGAAUAAACCUGCUGCGUCCGAUUGCACAACACAACUCAUCAAUAAAUACAAACAAACUGACAACUUACAGACAGUAAAAAACAGAGCUCGAUUGCUUUUUACUUAUUGAGUCUCAAUGAAAUUGUUGAAAAAUAAGAGAUUCUAUGUGUGUUUAUCAUUCAUGUAUUAAUGAUUAUGUAUAAAAUUGUAAUAUAGAUUUGUAUCUUAUAAUUGAUGAAGCUAAUAUUGCAUCCAUUAUGUUAUAUGAAGAUAUUUUUCAAAAACAAGCACAAAUGACGUGAUAUACUUUGAAAAUAUGCACGUAUUGAAUGUACUUAUAAAUAAUUUACAAUAAUCGUAGUGUGUUAAAUAAAUUAAACGCUAAUCUUUUUUAAUGGCUUGCCGCUACCUUCAGAACUUUUUAUUACUUUGCAGAGAGAAUACAUCUUAAAAUAUGCCAUUCAGUUAAAUUGUAAUAGUUGAUUGUCUUCCUAAAUUUAAUACAUUUACAUCAAUGUAUACUAAAAUGUAUAAAAUUAUUGUUAAAAUAUGUGUUAACUUUUUCUCUGACACUUAACCUACAGAACUGAACCAGACAAAUUGCUCAUAUUGGACGGAACUUUUCUAAAUGUUGACGUUCCCAAGACAGGAAAAGUCGAAAUAAACUAGUUUAUUUUUGUUUAUAUAUUAUUCGUAUAGGCUCGUUUAUAUAGAGGAUUCUUUGGAUGGAGGAACAAUAUUUAAAAGUCCCUUUCGUUUAUUUGUAUAAAAUUUUGACACAUUUGCCUGUAACGUACCGAAUGGGAUAUAAAUUAGAAAUGCGUUUUUAGUUUUGGCCAAAUAGCUUUAGCUUAGCCAUUUAUUCAAAUAUAUAAACGAUGCCUUUAAUGACACUCAAUUGACAUGGUUAUACGUAUAAAGUAUAAAACAAAAACAAAUAAUUUAUUUCGAUGAUUCUUGAGUUUUCAAAGUAGAAAUUUGAAAGCGUAAUAUAUCCCAGUUUUUGUUUUGGUUGUUCCAUAGAGUAUUCUUUUCCUGUGAACAAUUUAAAAAAUAUGUGAAUUAAGCGAAUGAUAUCGAAAUGUAUAAUUAAAAAAAUAUUUUGCAAGGGAUUUCAAUAAAAAAGAAAUUAAUACCUAAAUAUCAUUUUAUAUCUUAUAUCUUUAAUCCGAAAAAAACGAUCUCCUUUUUAUACCCGGUACUAGAAGAGCUAUUUGAGAUUUGUGGUUAUAGAUUUAUAAUCGAAGCGGUGUGCGUUUCCGAAUCCUUAAAGAAAUAAUGUUCUUGAUCAGAAUCAAUAGGCGAAUAGAUACAGCCGGUCUGACUUUUCGUAUUGUUUGCCGCCAAGUUCUCAGAGACUAUAAGAGCUAGAGUCUCCAAGUUAUGUUUGAUAUGUGAUAUCACAUUUAAUUACGUUUUUUCAGAAUUUUGCGCCCUAUUCGCCUCCACAGAAGACGAAAAUCUUCAUGCUUUUGUUCUAAGGGAGAACUUUACUUAAAGAAUAUUCAACAAAUUGAUAUUUUUUGGAAACUCAGGAAAAGUCGAAAAAAAUUAUAUCCUGGGUCCUUUAUUUUGUAUGUGUAUAAGGGCAUUCAUUCGGCAUCGUUUAAGGCAUUGAUCAUUAAAAAAUAUGGAUAAAUGGCAGAGCUAAAAUUAGUUGACCAACCCUCCGAACCCUUCAUGUUUUGAGGAGAUGCUAUUUUACACCCCACUUCGGCCCUUUAAGCCUAGUAUUCAUCCGAAAACAGGUUUGCUAGCAAAAUGUGCAAUAUAUUUUGGUAGCGGCAGUGUGUGACCAGAAGUAGAAGUGUUAACUGCAUUCCGUACGGUUACACUUCUCAGGCAGCUGUGUUGUUUUGUUUACUUUGUGAACAUUUGUGAAAAGUGAAUAAAAAGUAAAGAAAACAUUCAAUAAGAAAUGGAUCCAAGCAGGAGACUACUUUUGGUGGGAUUGGCGGCCCUUGUAAUAGCGGACGAGAAGGAGAAUCAACCCAUAUACUCAUACCUGCUGGAAAGAAACAAGAAGAUUCGUGUUUCUAUAGUUGUGAGUAAUAUUAAUCAUAUUGAAAUGCUUGCAAAUACAUCUAAAAAUACUCUUUAUACAUUUUGUAGUUGGAAAGCGUGACUCAAAGGCCAUUAGAAUUCAUUUAGAAUUUGCAUAUCUCUGAGGCGAACUUCAGCCGCUUUUUUGGACUGGUAAAGCAGUACUUGGUCCUCAAACGGAAUACUUGGGCAUUGUUCUAAAGUGAAUAUUGUAUAUGUCCAUGCACUUAUACAUAGUAAAUCGUUUCUUUGAUUAGAUUUCUUGUGUCCGGUAACUUGCAGCGCCACGUGUGCAGAGCAUAUCGGAUCAGCAAACAACAAUUCGGCGUGAUAAUUAUACAUUUGCAUUUCCCUGUCCAAUGAAUUUCCCAAAUUGAGCACAGACAACAUGUUAAAGUGGGCUAAGGCUUCGAAAAGGAAGGGAACUUUUCGAACUGUGUGUGAGCCGUUGCCGGAAAACAUUUGGCAAUAAAGCGGGAGCUGUUUUUGUAUGUAUGUCGCUUAUUUAUUUUGUUUAACAUUUAAUAUAAGUGACUCCCUUCAGGGCUGCCACUGCGCUUAUGACGAUCUGCGACGCCCAGUAUAUGUUCACCUAUGUACAUAAAGGUUGCCGCCUAUGGAAGUGAGGGCCUUCCUACGCUGCUAGCUUGGUAUCUUUGCGCCGAUGGGUGGCUGUGCAGCGUACCCUAUUUACCCGACAAGAAAAGUCUCAAACAAUUGUUGCUGCUUGUUUUCGGCCACAAAAUUUAUUAAUGCGCACGAGCCCCAAUACAUACGUACAUUUACCAUACAUUGAGAUUCAUUAAUUCAACACUGUAUAGUCCGAUCCCCUCCCCUGUUGCAUCAAUCGCCCUCAGCACUAUUGACAGGCCUUUAGAAACAACUUAAAAAUUCGAAGUAAUUAAACAAAUAAAUGCAUAUAUAUUUAAUUUAUUUACUUCUCCAUUCUUUGCAUUUUUGAUGGCUUCGAUCUGCUUAAAAUGGAUCUCUUUCUCAGUGGCCGAAGUGCUCUUCUCCAUGGUCCUCUUC